GCCCAGCUGGCUCAGUGGGAGGAGUGUGAGAUUCUAGAUCUCAGGGUCGUGAGUUCAAGCCCCACGGGGUG
rnacentral:tRNA from 1 species